UUGCUUCUGACAGGGGAGAUACCUUGAUCACGAAGGAGGUUUUCCCAGGGUGAAGCUCAUCCAUUGCACUCUGGGUGUGCUGUCCCCAGCAAUUUCCCCAAAUGCGGGAAACUCAACUGUAUAAUUUGCGGCCUCAGGCCAGGCUAAUCAUCAGAAGGCCAU